AUAUUGGAAUCUUCAAUCAAUGACAGAUUAUAUCCCUUGGGAUUCAAAUAAUAGGUACCUACGUAGGUAUUAAUCCCUAUUUUUGUUUUCUAUUUUAAGUUAAUAUUUUAAUGAAAUAAAACAAUAGGACAAUACAUAAUCAUUACGUGAAAAAUAAUUGUCACAGACAUUUUUGUGUUAAAUUGAGUAUACAUUGUAUUUCGUUGUUUUAUACUGCCACGGAUUUAGAUUCUCAAUAUAAUAAAAUUGAAAUCUGUACUGAGGAAUUCAUUUAAAAAAUAAAUCUUGUAAUCGAGACUAAACUUCUACUAGUGCACAAGCUAUUACAUACCUUGUAUUACUAAUGAACUAAGUAAUGCUCUGGCUAAUGUCUGUAAGUAAAUUUAAACACACAAAACAUGAAUUUAUCACAUUCAUAGGUAAUAAUUUUGUCAACUUCAUAUGACUUCAGACUUACUGGAUACCUGUACUGUAGAUCGUUGGUUGGUUGAUGUUUUUAUUAUUAUCCUUUGUAGAUUUUUUUUCAAUGAGGUAUCUGGUUUUAUCUAGGAUCUCCUUUAUAAUUUGUUUACUAUCUGUACCUGUGAAUAUUUUACUGAAAGAGAUGCUCAUGCCUUUUAAGCUUACAAACUAUGCAAUGUUAUUUUGUAAUUCAAAUAAAAUAGACGAAUUAUUUAAAAUGGUUAGUCGAUGAAUGUAUGUGUAGGUACAUAUAUACCUAAUUAAAAAUAUACAAAGAAACUUUAUUUAAAUAGUUUAUAUAAAAUGAAAUAUGUAGAUUAACAAAUCAAGGAAAACAAAAGAAAUGACUUUCCUGAAGACUAGCCGUAGGUUCUACAAAAAAUGGUGAUAUUUAAAUGAAUUUUCAAACACGUUACAGCAUUAUACUGGAAAAAAAUGUUUUAAUUAAUUAAUUAAUAAACUUAAGCCUAAAGGAAUGUAACACAUGCUUUUAAUGCAUUUAUUUGAGUACUUAUGGGGAUUCUGUUUUCUCUGCAUACAAUAAUAUAUUUUUUUCUUUAAUAUCAAUUUUUGGUUUUAAAUUGUAUGUGCAAUUGAUAUGAUUUUAUUUUUCUAGAUAUUAAUCAGUUUUGUUUUGUACGUAUAACGACCUUAUAUUUAAAGGUCGAAGGUUUAAUUGGUUUGUUUUUUGAAUUAAUUCUACCAGCGCUUCGAAUGACCAUCCACUGAGAAGAAGCGCCCAAGAAACUCAGCAGGAAAUCAUUUUUUGUUGGUGUAAGUAUUUUCUCCAACGGUAGGUAUUUAUUAAUGUUAGGUCGCGAUUCACAGAGUGAAUAUUUAAAUGCAACGUAAUCAUUAAUUUUGCUAUUUCGAACAGAAAAAAAAGUUAAAAGUACCAGUUAUUUGAAACUAUUAAAAAAUAAUAGCCUUAAAUAACCAAGACGUUUUAAUGUAAACUGAAUAAAAUUCGUAA